UUUACUCCGUCACUCGUCAAUACCGUUAUCUCCCCUCCUGCGUCACGACUUGCUCUGCUGAAAUUACCGCACCAUAACCACGUCAUCUGCCCCAAUGAGCACAUCUACGGGCCGGAGAACCAGCGCAGAAAAGGAGGAAGUUUAAUUGGUCGCCCGAUGAAACGGUCUUCUUACAUCAAAUUCAUGAAAAAAUACGUAUAAUCAGAGGGUGUUAUGGGAAGAGUAUCACCCCUGAGGAUAAGAAGAGAGCGUGGACUGCAGUGGCAGAAGCUGUAACAAGUGCCUUCCCUGGGAGUGGACCCCGUACGCAGGAUGACUGUGAGAGGCGUUGGUACAACGUACAACAAAAAUCAAAGCCUUGCAUUGCCAAGUGCAAGAAUGAGCAGCGGCACUGAUACACACUUUAUCAGUAUUGCUAGAGACCAUCCCAGCACAUUGUUCAUUACUUGUGGACAAGAUACCAUUAGCUGCUCCGGCAACAGCCACUGCUUCAAUAUCUGCUGGCCCUAUGACACCAGCCACUGCUUCAUCAUCUGCUGGCCCUAUGACACCAGCCACUGCAAGGGAUGACAAUGAAGCUGCUCCACCAGUCACCACCUACUUCAUCGGAGUUAAGAGAUGCCUUUCAUAGGGCAGCAGUAUAAUUUUUUGAUGCUGGGCUGAAUAUUACUGCCUCAAGGCUAUGAUUUUGUCACUUUUUUUUAUUACUGAGGAGGUUAGGGUGGAAGGGGUGAAAAAUAAUCUCUGCUGUUUUUCGACAGAAAUGGUUAGCAAAUACAUUCAAAGCACAAAAUUUACCAGAAAAAAACUGUGUGCCAUUGUGAGUGGGUUCACUUGAGAUUGGGCUCCAAUACGCCUCCGUGGUCUAGUGGUCAGCAUGCCUGGCUUCUACGCGGGCCCGGGUUCGAAUCCCGGCCCGGGCAGUCGGCGUGCAGCUCACCCAGCUGAUCAUCCUCCCUCUCGGGCUGGUCGAUAAAUGACUACCUGGGGAAACUGUGGUAACCCGGAUGUCACACUGGCCCUGUGUCCCGGGGUAAUGGGCUCCCUCCCACCACAGGCUCAAGGGCCAAUGUUACGGAGAUGAGCAUUAGCUUAUAACACCUUUAGGCACCGAUCAUAUUUGCAUUUUAUGUAGUCUGUGAUGCAGGCAGGAUAUUCAUUAGCACCUAAUUAGACUCAUGCUGCUCUCCAGUGCUCUCUGAUGAACUCACAAUCAAAG